rnacentral:rRNA from 1 species
UGCCUGUUUACCAAAAACAUCACCUCUAGCAUUUCCAGUAUUAGAGGCACUGCCUGCCCAGUGACAUCAGUUAAACGGCCGCGGUAUCCUGACCGUGCAAAGGUAGCAUAAUCAUUUGUUCCUUAAAUAGGGACUUGUAUGAAUGGCCACACGAGGGCUUUACUGUCUCUUACUUCCAAUCCGUGAAAUUGACCUUCCCGUGAAGAGGCGGGAAUAUGACAAUAAGACGAGAAGACCCUAUGGAGCUUUAAUUAACCGACCCAAAGAGAUCUUGAUAAUCAACCGACAGGGAUAACAUACCUCUACCAUGGGCCGACAAUUUAGGUUGGGGUGACCUCGGAGAAUAAAACAACCUCCGAGUGAUUUAAAUCUAGACUAACUAGUCGAAAGUACUACAUCACUUAUUGAUCCAAAAACUUGAUCAACGGAACAAGUUACCCUAGGGAUAACAGCGCAAUCCUAUUUUAGAGUCCAUAUCGACAAUAGGAUUG